AUCUAAAUAGUUUAAGUGAAAAAUGUUGGUUUGUGGUGCCAGUGAUAUAAUUGUUAUUUUAGGUU
rnacentral:tRNA from 1 species